UACGGAGGGUGCAAGCGUUAAUCGGAAUUACUGGGCGUAAAGCGCACGCAGGUGGCUGAGUCAGUCGAUUGUGAAAGCCCUGGGCUUAACCUGGGAAUUGCAGUCGAUACUACUCAGCUAGAGUAUGGGAGAGGGUAGUGGAAUUCCCGGUGUAGUGGUGAAAUGCGUAGAUAUGCGGAGGAACACCGAUGGCGAAGGCAGUCCCCUGGACCUGUACUGACGCUCAUGCACGAAAGCGUGGGGAGCAAACAGG
rnacentral:rRNA from 1 species